AUAUUUUACAGUUUUUACAGUUAAAAUUACGUGCGAAAUGCCUACGAGCGCUGAUGACAGCCUCCCUCUGGAAGAUUCCGAAGAAUGCGAUGCCUACAUCGCCAAAUUUUUACGGCCCCGAACACACUUGUUCAGUACGGUCAAGCAGGAGAAACAGCGACGCGAGUCCCAUGACAACAAGUACGAAACGGCGGUGCGUAGUAAAGCCAUCAUGCCGUCACAAGCUUCAAAAGUUUACAGAAAGGAGAUGUUUUACUCCACUUCUAAGUGUGAUUCGCGAUUCAUCAACAAUUUGCACACGUUCAACACUUUCGACGGAGGCAGUGGUUAUAGCGAAGCCUCGCCGCACUAUGCGAUGGAUUUUGUUAAAAACAAAGGAUUCGCUGAUGACGAAAUGGCCGGGCAUUUGAAGAGUCUUGAGGUUUCAAGGAAAAUGACUGAAAACGUCAAAUGGCUCAAUGAUAAUCGCAACGACUUGAAGACCGCACUCAGAAGGUCGAAUUCGUGUCCAGAAUUCCCCAUCGACAGGGAUCGCGAGAAAAUUACGACAUUACGAAGGAAUGAAAAGAGAAAUGAGAACGCCAAAAUUUCGAAUUUCGACGCCUCAUUUGUUCCGGAGCUCUGCUGCUCAGAUGACUAUCCUUCGAUUCUCUGUUCAAUUGCGACUGCAUUCAAAACCGUUGUCUCACGUGUCAACGCCCAAUCAAUCGGAAGCGGCGAGCUGAAAAUCGCAAAAGUUCUGUGCUCUACUGAAGAUCUGUUCGCAUAUGUGAUCCCUAAACGAUUCAAUACCCGCGAUGCUUUGUUUGCCUUUUCGAAUCAAUUCAGAGCGUGGCUCGAAUACAAGCCUAAUGUCCAGCUUUACACUCACUAUCGCUUCAUAAACGUGAUACUGUAUCUCGAAGAGUUUAAGCACGAGAGAACGGAAUUCCGAAGGGCACGCCAUGUCUGCAAUCUGAAAAGCCGCAGAAAUCAUGGAUUAUUUCUGGAGUUGGAUACGGGAAUGCUACGUGUGGUGGAAAUUACGCCGGAAAAAGUCAGAUUUUUAGCGAAUUCCUGGGCUCAUAAUCCGUCAGCGAUUGUCGAGGUUCGAUUCGACGGGGUGAAGAACGAGAAGGAUAUCUCGGAGGAAAUACAAGCAAUCCGAAAUACUGGCCGAGCUACGAUGAUUUCAUUUGACAGAGAGCACCGCGAGCAUAUGAAUGGCAAAUGGCCAAAUCCAAGAACCUGGAGCUCGUUAGGAACGGUUGUGCUUCGUAGAGAGUGCACACAUCACAAGGAUCAUUCGAAGCCACCACUGACUAGGCUUUUCUGCGAAGACAGGGAUUGUAUUGGAUUGUGCUCAACGGACCGAUUCCCGAAGAGCCGAAUCCGUCUCAUGACAAGCUUGUCGAGCUCAGAGCCCGUUUUGCAUCAGAACGUACACUUGGAUAUACAGACAGAACACCGAUUGCAGCUUAUAUCCUACCGAACACGGAUGCUCACCAGAAUGAACUAAUUCCGGACUUCUUCUCUCGCGUGCAGUUCUUGAAUGGGUACAGCGGACCAAGUGGACUCGCCAUCAUUACACUGAAUGAAGCGAUGUUUUGGGUUGAUAAUGGCCUACUCAAGUCUGCAGAAAGCCAGGUUGAUGAUCGAAGUUGGACGGUCAAGGAGUAUCAAUCAGUGGAAGAGGUGAUCAAUUGGUUGGCGAAGAUUUUGCCGCCAAAAUCAAAAGUCGGCUUCGAUCCAACACUCGUCAGCUAUACUUGGCAUCAACAGGCUCUUCAGUCCAUGACUUCCGAUCGAUUCGAGCUUGUGGCGAUUCCAGGGAACAUUGUAGAUGAAAUAUGGAGAAUGCGUCCAUUUCAACGAGGCGAUGUUGUGAAGAUGCUGGAUAAAAAUACACCUGAAAUUCCAGUUCAUGUGAAAAUCGACCGACUUCGGAAAUCCCUCAAGCCAAACAAGUGCCUGGCAGCCGUAAUCACAUCACUUGAAGAUAUCAUGUGGUUGCUCAACAUUCGUGGAAACGAUCUUCCGUACAAUCCUGUCACAUAUUCUUACCUCUUCAUUACCAUGUCCGAUGUACGUCUAUUCAUCGAUGCAAAGAGAUUGAACGAUGUAUCGAAAGCAUAUUUCGCCCGUCAGAGUAUCGAUGUAGAUGAUUAUAAGGCUGCUUCGCCUUAUAUUUAUGACUGGAUCUCAGCGACAAAGAGCAGUUUUGCCGAUAAGAAAAUCCUCAUUUCACCGGAAACAAAUUACUUGAUUGGACGUUUAAUCGGAGAAGAUCAUUCGAUGAUUGAUCCGUCGAUUAUGGAGAGGAUCAAGAAAAUCAAGAAUACAGAUCAGCUGAAAGGAAUGAGAGCGAGCAAUCUUCGAGAUAGCAUCGCAAUUGUUGAGUUUCUGUGCAAGUUUGAGAAGGAACGACGCGACGGCUAUACGUUCACAGAAUACGAAUUGGCAGCAGACAUUGAGGAAGUAAAAACACGGAAUCGCGAGUAUAUUGGCUUAAAGCAGCCAACAAUAUUCUCCGCAGGCGAACACUCUUCUGUGCAUGCUCAUCGGCCGGAUGCUCAGAAGAUCGUCUUUCACUACCAACAAUUCAUGUUUCAAACUGGAAGUCAUUACACGGACGGAGCGACGAACUGCGCAAGAACAAUUUGGGAUUCAUAUCCAACCGAGGAAUUCAUGAAUCAAUACACGCUUGUCCUCAAGGGCCAUAUCCGUUUAGCAAGUGCGAGCUUUCCGAAAACUCUCACCUAUGGGAGCCGGCUCGACAUUUUCGCAAGGAUUGCACUUUGGGAUGCUGGAUUGGAUUAUGAUCAUGAAACUGGGCAUAGCGUUGGCCAUUUUUUGAAUAUUCGCGACACACAGAUAGUGAUAGGCCGUGAACCAUACUCUAGCAAUAGUAUAAUCGAGGCUGGACAAGUGAUGACAAUUGAGCCGGGAUACUACUCCGAAGGAAUGUAUGGGAUUCGAAUCGGCAAUUGCUACGAGACGGUCGAUGUCACACUGUCGCAAAAUGAUCAGUAUUUCCUACGUUUCGAGCCCCUCACGUUGAUUCCAAUCCAAACUUCAAUCGUCAACAAGGAUCUUCUCACUUCCGAAGAAAUCAAUUGGCUCAACAAAUAUCACUUCAAAGUCUUCUCCAAAAUUGGAUACAUCCUUCGAAAAGAAAACAGGAUGGAAGAAUAUGACUGGCUCUUCAAUGCAUGCCAGCCGAUCUAGAGCAUUUUUAAUUGUUUUUAAGUUAUUUUCGUAUUAAUGUUCGUAUUCGUUUUAUUGUAAUCGUCGCCUCGGCUUCGAUCGAUCUCAUUUUUAAAGUACCCGUAUUUGUUUUUCGUUUUAUAUUUUUUGCCUGUUCUAUGAAUAUUUUGAAUUUUUUUUUGGAUUUUAGGAGUUGUUAAGAAUCAAAUAAAGCUUUUUAUAAUCA
rnacentral:misc_RNA from 1 species